rnacentral:rRNA from 1 species
UAGUCCACGCCGUAAACGAUGAGAACUAGAUGUCGGGAGGAUCUGCCUUUCGGUGUCGCAGCUAACGCGUUAAGUUCUCCGCCUGGGGAGUACGCCGGCAACGGUAAAACUCAAAGGAAUUGACGGGGACCCGCACAAGCGGUGGAGCAUGUGGUUUAAUUCGAUGCAACGCGAAGAACCUUACCAGCCCUUGACAUUGACAGAACCCUGUAGAGAUACGGGGGUGCUUCGGCCUGGAAAACAGGUGCUGCAUGGCUGUCGUCAGCUCGUGUCGUGAGAUGUUGGGUUAAGUCCCGCAACGAGCGCAACCCUUGUCCUUAGUUGCCAGCACUUCGGGUGGGAACUCUAGGGAGACUGCCGGUGACAAACCGGGGGAAGGUGGGGACGACGUCAAGUCAUCAUGGCCCUUAUGGGCUGGGCUACACACGUGCUACAAUGGGGAGUACAGAGGGCCGCCAACCAGCGAUGGUGAGCCAAUCCCUUAAAGCUUCUCGUAGUCCGGAUCGGAGUCUGCAACUCGACUCCGUGAAGUCGGAAUCGCUAGUAAUCGCGAAUCAGAAUGUCGCGGUGAAUACGUUCCCGGGUCUUGUACACACCGCCCGUCACACCAUGGAAGUAGGUUGCACCAGAAGUAGGUAGCU